rnacentral:rRNA from 1 species
AAGAUGGGACUGCGGCCGAUCAGGCUGCUGGUGGGGUAAUGGCCCACCAAACCUGUAACCGGUACGGGCCUUGAGAGAGGGGGCCCGGAGAUGGACACUGAGAGAAGGGUCCAGGUCCUACGGGGCGCAGCAGGCGCGAAACCUUCGCAAUGCGCGAAAGCGUGACGAGGUUAAUCCGAGUGGUCCCCGCUGAGGGGAUCUUUUCUUGGCUCUAAAACGGCCAGGGAAUAAGGGGAGGGCAAGUCUGGUGUCAGCCGCCGCGGUAAUACCAGCUCCUCGAGUGGUCGGGGCGAUUAUUGGGCCUAAAGCAUCCGUAGCCGGUUCCGUAGGUCUUCUGUUAAAUCCAACGGCUUAACCGUUGGCCCGCAGGAGAUACCGCGGGACUAGGAGGCGGGAGAGGUGGACGGUACUCCACGUGUAGGGGUAAAAUCCUUUGAUCCGUGGAAGACCACCAGUGGCGAAGGCGGUCCACCAGAACGCGCUCGACGGUGAGGGAUGAAAGCUGGGGGAGCGAACCGGAUUAGAUACCCGGGUAGUCCCAGCCGUAAACGAUGCGAGCUAGAUGAUCCAAUCGCAAAUCGCGAUUGGAGUGUCGCAGGGAAGCCGUUAAGCUCGCCGCCUGGGGAGUACGGUCGCAAGACUGAAACUUAAAGGAAUUGGC